rnacentral:tRNA from 1 species
GGGGAUGUGGCUCAGUGGUAGUUAUUGCCUUGUAUGCACAAGGCCCUGGGUUCAAUCCCCAGCACCACCA